GCAAAUAUCAUGAAUCAGGAUACGUCUUUGGUGCAUGGGGAAGCAGAGAGGAGAAACAAAACUGAUGUUUACCAAGCAAAGACACAGCAGCUGCAGCAGUGAAAACUGUACUUCUGUACCCCCAUCCCUUCCUUUUGCAGCCUUCAACACACACUUCACAAAGACCCUACUGUAGCACUCAAUGAAAACAGAAGUGAGGACCAGCCUGUGAUUUUCUGCUGAAGCUGUUGUAAUCAUUUCUCAACUUGGUAAAGCAGAAGACAGUAGAUGGCACAAUGCACUAAGGAGAAAUCCAUCAUAUUCUUCUGAGUCGAGGGGCAACUGCCUGUUGCUGAACAGAGGAUCUUUUCUUCCUUCCAAGCUCAUAGGACAAUGAAGCUACAAAGCACAAUCUAGUCAUCUUUGUGGAAGCAAUGCAAGAUGCAGAAGAAAGAAUUUAUAAUGCUUUUACGCUCAGACCUUCUUAAUUUUUUUUUUUUCUUCUU